GGGCAGCCAAGUCGUGAGGCGGAGCUAAUCCCUUAAAGCCAUUCUCAGUUCGGAUUGUAGGCUGAAACUCGCCUACAUGAAGCUGGAGUUACUAGUAAUCGCAGAUCAGAAUGCUGCGGUGAAUGCGUUCCCGGGUCUUGUACACACCGCCCGUCACACCACGGAAGUUGGGGGCGCCCGAAGCCACUUAGCUAACCCUUUUGGGAAGCGAGUGUCGAAGGUGAAAUCAAUAACUGGGGUGAAGUCGUAACAAGGUAGC
rnacentral:rRNA from 1 species